rnacentral:misc_RNA from 1 species
AGCAGGUUCAAUUUCAAUGGAGCCUGCAAAUGACCGAAAAGAUAUACAAGAGAGAGGAUGAGAGAAGAGUAAAGUUGCUAAUGAAGAGCAACAUCUGCAAAUUUUUUUAGCUUUGGAUGUAUAGAUGCAAUAGGACAAAAACAACACAGAAUGCUUUAACAUGACACGGUCAAAAUACACACAAAUCAGCAUAGUUUCAGUUCAACUUUCUUUUGGAAAUGCAAUGAAUUGAUUUUGAUCAGAACAUAAUUUGCAGAUGGAAACAAAAGGCAAGUGAAUAAAGCAAUAAUACCGU